AACCGCUAGGGGUGCGCAUCGCUGAGAAUGAGUUUUUGACUCUGACCCUCACUACUUGAACCGGGUAAUACCGGCGUAAGGAAGCAG
rnacentral:ncRNA from 1 species